GUGAAAAGCAUUUUGAUAGUGAAUACAUCCAUUCCUUCAUAAAAUAAUAAUAAUAAUGCUAAAAGCAUUAGAAAGAUACUGUAAACCAGUGAUAGAAAAGGGGACACAGAGAGGGGCAGGGGGAAAGGGCCAUAUUUUCAAAGAUUUUCUUCCGCAUCUGCAGACAAAGGCCCACCUACUCUUUCUAUUCCUACACAGUCAUUUUCACCCUGAGUGCUAACAGGCGGUUGCCUUAUGAAAUAUUCAUGUGUCAAAUAUUCAAUGUACAUUAUAAAUGGUUCUUCUUUUGCUGAGUCUAAAGUGAAAACAAUUUAGAAAAUUCGAUAUUCAUUCCUGUAACCCUGCUUAAUAGACACUGGCACUUUGAAGGGAUGGUGGCCUUCUGGUUUGAGAAGUGAUGACAA
rnacentral:lncRNA from 1 species